CUGAAAUGCCACUUCUACCAAGUUUUUGUAUUGUUUAGAACAGGCCCCAUGUAAGAUGGCUGUCAAAUUGCUCCAUUCCAAUUUAUAGGGGCUCUAUGACACUAGCCUAUAAACAGUUCUAUGAUCCGGAGUGUCUAUAGCCGAGCGCCAGGUCUUUCCGUGUCAACCACGCUGUGUGGAGCUUCGAAAUAUGUCUUCUUCGUUCUGCGGCCAUGUGGACGAUUUGUUGUAAUCGAUUCAUCUGAUUAUUUCGUUUUUUAUCGUGCUGCAUGAUGUAUGCACUAGCAUAAAUCAAACCGUCACAAGUUGAGCAACGAUGCUUGGGAGGAAAGGGUGGACCGUCCGAUGAGUUCAGAGCAGUGCUAGGGGCGGCAGCUUAAAGCGGGAGAUCAAACCGGGUUCGGACGACGGUGAACAAGGCCAAGGGGAUAUAACAUCGAAAACCCGCAAAGAUCAACACGGCAUGGUCACCACAAAGGUACCAGGCUUGAACCCCAACGCCAAAGUCUGGCAGGAGAUCCCGGCCCAACAGAGCCAAGUCCUAGAGGAGGUCAUAGAGAGCCACCACUGCCUCCAGAUGAUCCCUGCUCUUGCGGAUGAUGUCACCGAGGGUGAGGGACUGCCAAUUGCAAUGCACCUCUAGGAUGCGUCCCUAAGUUAGUUAUUAACAGUCAGUGUCAUUAGUGACAACUUCAGGGGUGUGGUGUAUUGAAAAAUAUACUAAAUCAAGCCAUUGCAAUGGCUGCCUGUCCCCUGACCUAAACCUAUUGAAUAUGGGUGGUGUGAGCUCAAGAGGACAAUGUACAGGACUCUGGAUAGGUUCUGAAUGAAUGUGUGGUUUUAGAUCCCUUGCUGUGUGUAUUCCCACCUUAACAGCUGUCAUCUACAAUACUUGUCUUAGCAAGGGGAGGGCCAAUUGUACCACGUUUUGAUUACCUUUUUUUUUUUUCUUCAAUUAAAUGAUUUCUCUAAUCUUGAGGGUAUGAUCCAGCUCAAUAAAAUCAAGGGAGCACGUAAUCAUCAUAGUAUUAAACUUCAGGGAUAUCAAUCAGUCCAGUUAGGAAGCACACGCGAUUGUAAAUCAA
rnacentral:lncRNA from 1 species